UAAGCUUAAAAUUUUGAACUAAGGUUAUCAUAAAUUUACAGAAAUUUCUGGAUUAUUUCGGUAUCAAACAUCUGGCGAACGUAUAUGGUUAACACCUAUUUACUUCCAAGUUAGCGGUAAAGUUACUGGUCAAUUAGCGAACAGUUGAAAAUAAGGUUUUCGAGAAUUAUGCUUCCGUUUCAGUGUGGAUAAGUGUGCACUGUGCUUUCAUGUACGUGUACGGUUCAGUGUGGUAGUUUUAUCGUUUUUAACGUGCACCUGCUGAAUGCGACCUCAAUUAAGCCGCCCACCCGCCAUGUGUUUUCGCGUGCCUGCACUGGACAUUGCUUCCAAAACAAUCGGUCGGAAUGUUAAACUGUAGUAGAAUGGCUGGCAACGGAAUUACUUCUAGCGUCAGGCUUUUGUCGUUCCACAUUCAAUUGAAUAUUGCUUUAAUUGACUUUUACCAACGUUCAAUAUAAGGAGGAUAGUAGGAACGUGUGUUUUUAAACAGUUAUUUGUGAAAGUUUUCUCAACUGUGCUGUUCGAAGUUGGGAUCUACAAUUUGCAUGUUAAAGCAGAAUGCGAGAAGUAUCAGCUAGGAUAAAUAACUUAUUGGCAUUCCUUUGUAUGCUCAUAGAGCUGUUUGGGGAUGUUUCUGAAAAUGUAUUAGUAAUGGUAUUAACGCAAUGAUCCUCAAAGUGUGCGCCCCAAAAAUUUAGAAAUCGCAUCGCGGAAAACUCCGAUUAUUUAGGGAACUGCAAACCAAAAGAGAACAUCUGUAUUAACGAUUUGGAAUAACACGAAUGAUUUAAUGUCCUAGCUAAGAUUCUCUAAAGAUCCUAGCCACAGCAACCGGCGAACCGUUAGAUAAACUAAAAAUAUAAAGAACCCAUGCUGUCAUGAUUCGAGUCUAAUUCAGAAGAAUUUUUUGGUAUUUAUUGAUAUUGACUAUCUUAAUAAAUGGUUUGAUUUUGCUGAAAGAAAUUGGUUAUUCAAAAUCUAAAAAUAGGAGGUUGCUACUCUCUAUUCCCGCCAGUUUGGCAUUCACAAAAAGGACAUUUUCGGUUAUGAAUUCGAAAAGAGAUUCUUCCAUCUUCAAUGCUGGAUGUGGACUCUAUUUCAGUGAAAGGAUCUCUGAAGAAGUUCGCCACUUGUUCUGGCGAAACGUUAGAAAGCAACUGUAACCAACGACGGCUUUUAGACCCGAAUCAAACCAGCAUCAGGCCACGAAUGUCUUUACCAAUUUACCAAAAGGACCCAAUACAUUUUCUAAAGACUGGUUGGUCCUCCAGUAUGCAGGAGUUGCAAUAUUUCUAAGAAUUAUUCAGUUCAUGUAGAUGCAGCCGUAUAUUAUGUUGGAUAAUUCUGGAAAAGCGCCAUGGAUUAUGGGAUAUGCGGUUCAAAGAUGGUCUCAAGCACGUGAGAGCGACCUACAGCCUGCGAUGAUGGCAUUUUUGUACUAUAAAUACCAUGCUUAUAAAUGUAAUCCUGAAUUAUGACGGGAGAAAGAAAAAUAACCUGGUUCUUGUCCCGGAAAAUUUGUUACCUUAUUCACUGUCUACAAAACUUGGACAAUUUUCUUUUCUUCCGAUGAAAAACGAUGUGCUCCGCUCCUUAUUUUCGCGUGCGACGAAAGGUCAAACUUGCCUACUACGAAACCCUAACAACCGGAUCCAAAUGUGAGUUAUGGAAUACGUUGGAAAAACAGGCAACUAAUAGAUUUCAGAGCGACAGUUACCAUACACUUAAUAGCUACAAAACUAUCCUGGAAUUACAGAAACUAAGAUAAUGCGCCAAUCGUAAAUUUAAUUUCUCACAAUGCUUGACUGUUUUAUUAAUAGAAUUACUGUAUCAUUAUGUUUAACAUAUAAGUUAAUUGUUGCAUAAAAUAAAAAUGUCAUGUUUU
rnacentral:lncRNA from 1 species